UGCCCACACAGUAAGGACCCAAUCACUACUAGGGAACUAAAAUAAAAUCAUUUUUCUUGACUUCUUAUUGCUUUCUUUCUUAUAAAUGGUCGUUAUUUCAUAUCGAAAAAUAGGUAUGUUUCAUCAAUCAUAUUUUAUAAGGCCCUUCAAAUUAGAGAUUCCAAAUUUGGUCACAGAUUUCAUUUCUAACAUUAAGGAAAAGCGUUUCAGAGACUAAUAUAGGUUGCAUCAAUAUUUAAAUUGUAUCUUUCAAAUGUUUUGAAAUUGUAAAAUAAAAUGUAGUGAAACAAGGAAUAUGUAUGGUUGCAGUAAAACAGAGGUUUCUCUACUACCACAUUCAUAUAAAUACUGAAGUUGCCUGUCUGUGAGAUGCUUAUUGCUGUCUAACAAAAACCUGAGGCUGUAUAAAUUAUUCAGUCUAUUACUAAACUAAGCAAACUUAAAGAAUUUCCUGAGCAAGGUAAAAUAAAGCAAUAAUAAAGCAUGAAUUUAUAGUGGGGGAGACCAAUGAACCUGAUAAAGUAAGUGUGAUCAGGAGGUAGAACUAGCCAAAAAUUUAGGAUAAUAAUAAAUGUUGGUACUAAUUUUCUCUACAUGACUUUCUCCAUGUUUUCAUGGUAGCAAAAAACUUUUAAAAGGCAAAAGAUUUUAAUACCCUAUUAAGAAAAGUUCCUGAUAACACAACAUUCUUCUAGUCUCACUCAUCACCAGAGGGCCUUAAAUAUACUCCCCUUUUCUCAUUUCACAUACACAUGGGACCCCAAGCAAGGAGUGGCUUUGUACUCAGAAUUCCCAGUGCAAUGAUUCUAGUAUUAUGGACGAGAACCAUCAUUUUGGAAAAACACAUGUGAUUUCUAAAACAACUCAUUAUUUAGUUUAUAUAAGAAUCAGAGAUGAAAUAUGAAUAUGAGCAAAAUAAGCCAAAUAACAAUUCAGAGAUAUGGCCUAGAAAAACAAAAUAAAAGGAUGUGUUUACAUAAAUUAUAAGCACUCCAGGGCUGGGCUAUUAUUCUUUGUCUAGUACUGUCAACCAUUUAUACAGCAUUUUGCACACUUGUGGCAAUAUAGAAUGAAUAAUAAUAAUUAUUACAGUAUGUUUGUUCUGAAUCCUACAGACCUCUCCUUAUCAGAUUCUUGCAGCCUACUUUUCAAGUCAGUUCAUAAUUGACCAUAUGUAUUUUCCAAUCCCUGCCUGUUAGGCUUCUUUUUCUCUUACAAACCCACUAGUGAUUAUUUUGGACAAAUAUCUGCUAUAUCAUUACUAGCAAAGCAUGGACUUCAAAGAGUACCACUUGGAUAGUGUUGAAGUGCUUGGAAUGUUGGCCAAGAGUUUUAACCUCAAAGGGAUGUGAUUUCAGUGAUUUCUGGUUUCAGACGGCUCAGAAAUGGAGAAAAGAAAAUGGGGUAGGGGAGUAAGGAGAAAAAGAGAGUAAUUAAUUAUGAAGCCAUACCAGUAAAAUACUAAGACAUGAAAAUUCCAAAGGAUCCUUUUUUUUAAAAAUUAAUUUACUUGCUGAAGGAAUCAACACAUGAGUGUGAAGAGUCCCUACUGAAACAGCUUUCUAUCUUCCUGACUCAAAUCUGUUUUCCCUCUCUAAUCAAUCCUACACUUCCGCAAGAACAGGCUUCCAAAAAUAUAGCUCCAUCAACAGUUUGUCUUUAAUUUUAAAAGCUAAUCACUGCCUGUACAAUAACUCCUUAGCAUGGCCUCCAAGGUCCCAAACUUAUCUUUCUAGUCUGAUCUCCUUCCACAUCCCUCCACACAUCCUAUGUGCACACAAUAUUGAUCUUCUCCAAAUUCCCUCAAAUAUUCCUGGCUCUUCAACAUCUCAGUGCCUUUGUAUUUGUUACUCUUAACACUCUUCUUCACUUUGAGAACCUGGAAAACUUUGCAUUCAAGAUGAAGAACUGUUACCUCCUCCAUGCUAUCUUUCCUGAUUGUCCUCUUAUUAAGUAAGUUGUUUUCUCCUUAUCAAUUCUUAGUUCAUACUGCAAGCCACUAACCACAUGUGCAUGCUAUUUGCUUUAUGUGGCAGUGUCCUUCACCAGACCAAGCUCAUGGGCAGAGAUGAUCUUUGGUCCUGAGUCAAAAUGAUCUUUACCAGCCCUGGGUCAACCAUAAUAUUUCACACAUAGUAGGCACUCAGUAUUUAUUUAAUAAAACACUGAAAUAAAAUACAAAUAUUAUAUAUAUAAAAAAUGUGUGUGUGUGUGUAUAUAUAUAUAUGUAAUGUACAUGUGUGUGUGUGUGUGUGUGUGUAAGCAGGCAAUACAAUUAAACUUCCGGCAAUGCAAAUCACCCAUGUUCUCAGCAUUCGCCUUCAAACAAAAUAUCAAACAAUAAGUGGCUGGUAAAAACAAUUAGCCCAUAAAGCAGGUGCUGACUCAAUCCCUCAACACAUUUUACACAGAGUUUCCAUUCUGGUUUCCUUUAGUUUAUAAAACCCAAAAAAGGACUCCCACCCCAACUCGAGAAGUAAGCAUAAAAACCAAGAGCUAAAUCCAGCAGCUUCUAAGUGCACUUAAGUCUUAUUCAGAGUCAAGGGAAAUUAUGCAUACAUGAGAAGUAGAAGGUAGCGGGGGGGCAGGGACAGAGAUAAGAAAGAUGGCUCAUUGCUUGUUGGAAAACAGGAAAAAGAACACAUUUUCCUGAGAAAAUUGUUACCUAUUUGCUGUCACUUUUUCAUCUUCAUAGGAAUUUAUUGGAUUAGGAAAGACCUUUGCUACUCCACAUUAUCCCAAGCUCCCAGUUGCCUUUACAUUAGUUAAUGCCUGAGCUUCCUGGUUAAUUGUGGCAGGCGAGCAGCAGGCCGCACAGAUGUCAGAUGUCAUACUCUAUCAGAUGAAGAGGUUCCUGCCUCAGGCUGUUUAUAUAUGACCUACCAGGAUUUCCUGCUGCAUGAUGAAAUAAUUAGGGGCUGCCAUGCAGGGAAUAACGUUGCAAGUAAGUUGUAACAGCAUUACAUUAAAAAACAAAAAUGAAACAUUUGGCCUUAUCUGCAGCAGAAUCUUCCUAAGGUUUACUGUGAACAUUCUGUUCCUUAUUUCUAUAAUAUUCACAUGGGUGCUAAUUUAAUGUUCACUAGAAAACACAAUGAGUUUAGCAAGGCUUUUUUUAAUGCUUGAGCUGCAAUUUGAGUCAAGAAUAAACAGGGUGGGGAGAUGUCUUUUUUUGUGUUUAAUUUUCUAAAUAAAGUUUGUCUUUUGCCUCUUAUAACAAACCAAUUCUACAGACUCAACAAAGUCUACAGAGUCUUUGCAAAAAAAUAGUAGUAUCUUCUAAAUCAAUUUAUUCUUGUCUUAUUAAGUUCUUUUUUCAUUGUCUUAUUAAAUUCUAAUUUUUUACUUUCUAACCCAGAAAAAAAGUAUACACCCUGUUUAUAAUAUUUUUGAAUGUUUUUAUCCAUAGGGACAUAAUCUCUUAUCCACAUACCGUUUCCAUGGAAUCAUCCUAUAUACAAACGUGAUUCAAGAUUAAGAACAAAAAUUCUAAGUGACUUUGAUCAUUAAAAUUAAAAGGUUAGUAAUGAUCUCAUGAAUCUAACAACAGCUGGGUAAGUGGAACAAUUCAGACCAAGUUAUUUUAGCAUGUUUUUCCACUAUCAUCUAUGUAUCCCUGUUUUAUUUCUUAAUACCUUUUCUAAUAAGAUCGUAAACUCCCAGAGGGCUGUUUGUUUCAUGCAUUUUUGUAUCUCCUAUUCAUUCCUAGUACUUAGCACAUACUUAGCACAUCCCCGUACAUCCCAAUACUUAGCAGGAGUAGAUACUCAAUAAAUUUUUGUUAAACUGAAUUACACAGUAUAGAGUGAGGAAUAGAGAACAAGGGUUUAAGAAAGAGGUAAUAAUCAGGAUGAAUCCUCACUUCUCCAUAUUUUUUUCCUGUAUAGGUACAACAUAAUCUUUCUAUGUAGGUAUAAUAUCUUUCCCCCUCAACAUCUCCUCUACUGUAAUUCUAAAAACGUUAAUGAUUCCCAGCCCCUUUAUCUGACAAGCGAGCUUAAUGCUCAUUAUUUAGAGGAGUAUAAUUCCUGUCAUAAAUUACUAAGAAAAAUGAAUAUCCAUCUCAGCUUCAUUGCUUAAAAGAUCAUUUAGAUAUCAUGAAAGUGGCCAGGUGGAUUCCUGGAGAACCCAGAGAACAAAGUUUUAGAGAAGAGAGGAGAUUUCACAUUGCAUUUCUAGGAAAGAUUUAAGAAAAAGCAAGAGACUCUGUGAGACAUAUAAGAACAGUAAAUAUUUUUUGUCCCAAGUGUUAACUCUGAUCCAUGAAUAAUAGCUACCGUACAAAGAGGCAGCAUCCAGGCUGUGUGAGAAAGUGCAGUAAUUGAUUAGUGGAGUUUUCCUUGGCCUGGGAACAAAUGUCAGUAUGAAUACUAAGUAUCUGCCAUCCUAGUAGCUCUUCCUAAUAAUUGAGAAAGCUACAGUUAUUUUAGAGGAGAACUAGGGAACAAAGAGACAUUCAAACAAGAAUCUUUGAAGAAAAGCAAAAGUUCAUUCAGGCACCAUUAUACCCAAGUGUUGCCCUCCAUGCUUUGUUUAAUAAACAUUUAUUGAGCACUUACUUCUCAAGUAAUAUUUUCUAGCCUUAGGAAAUUCAUGGCCACCUAUAGGAGGCAGACACAUAAAUAAAAAUCUUUAUAUUGUGAUUAAUAAUAUAAAAGUCUACGAAGAAUGUUAAAGGAGUUCCAACUGAAGUUACUAACACUGGCUGAGGUGAAGGUGAGGAGAGGGACGUCAGGAAAUGUUUCCCAGAGAAAGGGAACAUCUAAACAAAGCUUUAAGGAUAAGCAAAAAUUAGCCAGGCCAAAAAAGAAGGAAGAGGGAAGAAGAAGAAGGAAAAGAACAUUUGGGGCAGCAUAUGCAAUGACAUUCAAGGCAAUAUCCUUUGUUCAGCUGCACUGCUUAGUUCAAGUGCAUAGAGACGAUGAUUAGAAAUAAAGCUGGAGGAGUUCCCGUCGUGGCGCAUUGGUUAACGAAUCCGACUAGGAACCAUGAGGUUGCGGGUUCGGUCCCUGCCCUUGCUCAGUGGGUUAACGAUCCGGCGUUGCCGUGAGCUGUGGUGUAGGUUGCAGACGUGGCUCGGAUCCCGCGUUGCUGUGGCUCUGGCGUAGGCUGGUGGCUACAGCUCCGAUUCAACCCCUAGCCUGGGAACCUCCAUAUGCCGUGGGAGCGUCCCAAGAAAUAGCAACAACAACAACAACAACAAC
rnacentral:lncRNA from 1 species